AACCCAUGCUAAGGCCAUUUCCAUAGGAGAUCCUUCAAUCUGUCCCAUGUCUCAAAAAGAGACUCAUUCCAUUUGCACAAAAGAGGAUAUUCAUUCCUAAGCUU